CGUGCAGAGUUUCCAGUGCUGCAGAAUAGGUGGCUGCUGUCGGUGUUGCUGCAGGUGUGUGAGGGUCUGCAGUACGUCCACAGUGGAGGCCUGGUGCUGAGGGCCCUGUCUUCCCACAGCGUGGUCCUCACUAAGCUGGCAGUAGCCAAACUGACCGGUUUAGGCUUCAUGGUCCCCAGCAGUCAAAGUACAAACGUUGACCCCCCACUGCACAUAGACCUCCCCCCCAGCCUCCACAGAUGGGCCGCUCCAGAGGUCAUUAAACAGCGGCCGUGCGCGAUGCAGGCCGACAUGUACAGUCUGUGCGCUGUGAUCCAGGAACUUUACACAGGUAGCUCCCACAGCGCGGCGUCUCCUGUCGGAGCAGGAUGUGGCAUUCAGACGGGGAAAUUAAAACAAUAUACAUAAAUGUAUUGUAUAUAAGCAAUUGAAAAUAUGAAUGCUUGUGUUUCUGUCACACAAGGAUGCUGUUUGAAUAUGACCAGAUUAACUUUAAGGAAGUUCUUGUAGUCUGGGGACAUGCAGAAGGGAUUGUGGAAUGAUAUCGGUCUUCAUAAAUGGUUUUAGACAGUGAGCCGUGGGGAACAGCGGACUUGGACAGAAUCAAACAGAUGAUAGAUGCAGGACGUGCCCUGGCAGCAGACAGCAGCAUUCCACAGCCUUACUACGAUGUGGUCCUGAGAGGUCUGCAGCACCACCCGCAGGACCGCACAUGCAGCCUGCAGGGCCUGUGCGCCACCCUUCAGCAGGACCUCAAGAGGAUCUCCCUGGAAGAACAGAUGACUGGUGGGCCGUGUGGCCGAGAUCUGGGGCCUGAGGUCCAGAACAAAGAACAGCAUUGGACCAUUGUGGGGGAACCAGUACACAGCGAUGUCCAUAGAACUGUCGGCCCAUUCACAACCAAGACAGAGGCCGUUGCGGAAGGACAUGUCGACCUGGACCAAGAGCUGUACAGAAAACCAAAGCCAGAGAGAGAAGGACGUUUGUUCCACCAAGUGUACCCCUACGCAGGCCUGCUGCCUCUGCUCGGGGAGUUCGACCCAGCCAGUACUGAGGAAGAACCCGAGUCGGACGUAGACGGGGAGCUAGCAGAGCAGCUGGCAGGCUGGAAGAUGGCAACGGAUCCUCAAAUCAGCACCAUUACAGUGAACGUCAAAGUGUCCAAGGAGCUGCUGCAGCAGGCCAACCGGAGCCUGGACGCGGUGGAAGCCCCCCCCCCUGCUGGACUACAGAGGGGUGGAGGACGUUGA
ensembl:lncRNA